rnacentral:lncRNA from 1 species
CGUCAACUCUUGUCCCUCCUAUAAGGCUAUAAAUAUAGAUCAGAUAUCCAAGAUCGGAAGAAGAAAAUCAAUCGGCGAAACGAUCUAGGCCAUGGCGUCCAGGCAUGUUCCGAUGGCAGCGGGGCAGUGGGUGGUGAAGCGGUGCUCGGCAGGGGAUGCGGCGGCCGGCGGCGAGGUUCCGCCUCUCGUGCCGGUGCAGCCCGCGCCAAGUUACCGGAAGACGGAUCCAGGCCGCCCGAGGGAUGGGUCAACAUUUAUGAGGUGGCAGCAAAGCUGGGGGAUUUAGAUCCGUUCAGGACGAGGAAGGCAGCCGCCAUUGACAAGAUGUUGAAGGAGGCCAAGCUCCAUCAGCCACCGCCGCCGUCAAUUCGCCCGCCGCCGCAACAGCAAGGCCAGAAGCAGCAGCGGCAGCAUCCGAAAAAGGUAGGAAGUACCGGCUAUCGAGAGCGAAGAUCUCGAACAUAAUCGUCCUGAAGCCAGAGCCAGAGCCAGAGCCAAUCACGGGCACGGACUACCUCGACGACCUGGCGGAGUUCUUCCCGGCGGAGUGGAUCCAGGAGCGGAAGCUCGCCCACGCGCGCUUCGCUGAGCAUGACCGGAUGACGUACCAGGAGUGGAAGGAGUUCUGGCAGGAGGUGAUCAAGGAUCUCAAGGAGAAGGGCUACUACAAGGUCGACGAGGAGUACUACGCCAACAGAGAGAAGAUUGUCGCGUUGGUGCAAGAGGAAUGGAAGAAGGACUUCAGUGGAUUUGUUGUGGCUACCGAGGAGGAAGAGCUCCAGGCUUUAAAGGAAGGUUCUUAUCGUCCCUACGCACUCCCUAACGAAGACGAUGACCUUCUCGAUGAUCUUCCCAGCGACGACGAGGAUCUCAUCUUUCGAGGAUUCCAUGGUGCUGAUGAUGCUCACAAGAUUGCUGCUGUCGAUCAGUCCAGCUGAGACGAGACUCUCUGAGAGGAGCAUUAUUAAUUCAUGUGGUCCAUCCACUACUACAGAAACGGGUAUCAGUGUCGGUCGAAAAACUACAUCAGUAACGGGCAGGCCACCCGUCACUCACUUCCUGCAAGUGAUGUGGGUAGCAUCACUGGUGGGCGGCCUGCACUGAUGUCCACCACAUUAGUGGCGGGCACAAAACCACGACCGACACUAAAACGUUUUCACGAUUUUAAAAAAAAAAACAGGCCGGAAUCCCGGCCGGAAUCAGCAGCUCGCCGAUGGGGGCUGAAACGGCGGCAAGAGCAGGGACCAAAAUCAAAAAAGAAAUGCAUUACUAUCAGAAACAUGGGAUUGCAUUACAUCACAUCACAUCAAGAAACAAACAUUGGAUGAAACAGAAGAAAAAAAAGAACCCUAGCUGUCCUGGUCGUCGCCUCCUCCUAGCUUCCAUCGCCUCCUCCUAGCGGCCGGCCCCCGCUUCAUCUCUCCUCGGUGGCAGCGCUAUCGUCAUCUGCAGUAGGGUGAGAGAGAGAGAGAUCGUGAGGGAGAGACAGAGACAGACAGAGAGAGAGAGAGAAAGUAAGAAUGGAGCGAGGGAGAUACAUACUGGAUCCGGCGGCGAACUCCUUCAAUCCGGCGGCGAAUUCUUGGAUCUGGCGACGAACUAGACGGAUCUGGCGAUGAUGGAGGCUGCGUCGACCGGGCACAAGGCGGCAGCGGGCCUCCACAACGGCAGAGAGAGGAGGAAGAGCUGGGAGAGGGACGAGGGAGAGGAGGAGGGCAGAGAGAGGGGUGGGCUCUCGCGGUGUGUAGAGGAGAGAAGGGAGGUUGGGAGAUUGGGAUCGGG